rnacentral:lncRNA from 1 species
AGCUGUCAAAGUGUCUUCUUGUAUGUGCCUCCAUAAGUAUCCUUCCCACUAGCAUCAAUAGCCUUAAAGGACAACAAUGACUGGUGCACCAUUCUCAGCCUUACUGGUAAUAUGGUCUUGCAGCAGCUGCAUUAGAUUUCAAAAACAAAAAGAGGCUUCUUGUUCUUAUGUGACGAAAAGACCAUGCUCACAUGAUUCACAGCUAGAAAUAAUGUCGUUUUUCUUGUCCGAUUCUUUUAACAUUACCAAACUCGUGAAUCCUACAUGAGCAUAUUCCGAAGAAGUGAUUUCAAUGGCUCAAGAUAUUCACAUUAUCCCGUUAUAUAUGAUCCCAAUAUCCUUGUCAAGAAAUACACCUAAACAUAGACGAAAACCAAAAUUUAGAGUAAGUGAAGAUGUUUUUCCCUAUCUUCUUCACAUUUGUUCUCCUCCUCUCCACUUCCAAUGCUGCAGUGCAGGACUUCUGUGUUGCAGACUACAAGGCUCCAGAAGGCCCUGCAGGCUACUCCUGCAAGAAGGCUGCAACAGUUACCGUAGAUGACUUUGUAUUCUCUGGCCUAGGUGUUGCUGGUAACACCACAAACAUUAUCAAAGCUGCAGUGACCCCUGCAUUUGCUGCUCAAUUUCCUGGUGUUAACGGCCUUGGCAUUUCGCUGGCUCGUCUAGACCUGGCUCCUGGUGGAGUUAUUCCAUUUCACACACAUCCUGGAGCUUCAGAAGUCUUGGUUGUUACACAAGGAGCCAUAGUUGCAGGGUUCAUUUCAUCAGCUAACACAGUUUAUCUGAAAACCCUUAAGAAGGGUGAUAUUAUGGUGUUCCCUCAAGGGUUAUUGCACUUUCAAGUCAAUGGAGGUGGUUCUUCAGCAGUAGCAUUCGUUAGCUUCAGUAGUCCAAGCCCCGGUCUGCAGAUUCUGGACUUUGCACUUUUCAAAAAUGAUUUGCCUACAUCAUUGGUCGCAUCGACUACUUUCCUCGAUGUUGCUCAGAUCAAGAAACUUAAGGGUGUUCUAGGUGGUACUAAUUAAUUUAGGUUGUGUGGAGAUAUGUACCAGUGUGCAUGUAUUUCAUUUCCUUUUAUUCUCGAUCUGUUUUGUAUGAGAAGGCCUGUCAGUGUACUUAGGAUUACUCAGGUGCGUAGCGGUUUCUGAUUCAUCAAUAAAUGUAGUUUAUUUAUGCUUGUAUGAGUCUUAUCAUGUCCUCCAGUAUGUUGGACCGGUGAGGCAACAAUUAUAUUGAAGGGAAGUGCCAUAUUGCAUCUUAGUUAACCUGAAAUCUAAAAAUUCAUCUGCAUAAGCUAUUCGAUAUGCCAACUGAUUUAUAUGCUCUUAAAACAUAUUUAGUAAUCGAUCAUUGUAUACUUUUUGAAAUGAGAGAUCAUAUAUUGUAUAUUUUGUAUGGCAUUGUUUGGUAAAGUUACUGUAUCAUAGGAUGCAGUGAACUGUAAGAUCGAAGGCACCUAACUUGUAUAAGAAACUUGCUUAUAACUAGCUUUCAUAUGCAGAUUAACAAAUGCACGAAUGCUUUACAGGAAAAGUAUGCUGCAUAUUCAUAUAUACCAGAAAUACUGAUGGUUUUACCAACAGUGCCAAUUUGCUUUGCACUACAGCCACUACUGGUACAACCGGCCAGUGAAUUAUACUGAACUUACUAACUGUUGUUGGUAUAUAUACCGCAAGCAUAAGUAACGAUCUCGUAGACUGUUUUCCGGUAGACCGACAUCCGGGCUACCUCGCCAUGGUGAAAGAUCAUCGGUACCACAUCGGGAAUGUGCUCUCCCAAGCUCCAUAAGAAGACAUCAUAAGAAGAUAUAUGUGUAUUUAGUCCCACAUCGGAAACAUAAUAUGUGAGGGAACCUUCUUUAGCUAUAAAAGGAAGGCUUCCCAUAUGUAGCAAAGAUGAUGGAUGAUGAUCCUUACUCACUCCAUCUUGGAGAGCUCUUGUAACACCAAGGGCCUAUUGGCCAUGAUAGUAGCUUAAGUGGAUGUAGCCAUGUCCUCCGAUGACAUGGUGAACCAUUAUAUGUCCUUGUCUCUUGUUCAUGAUCGUCUAUUGUACAUGCUCCACCGUGAUUCUACAUAGUCUCCGGGAUUAUGCAGAAACACUAACUCUUUGCAGUAGAAAUGCCAAUCAAUUGCACUAAAACAACUAUUGCAUUGCACUAAAGGCACCAGCAAUUUGCAGUAAGAACAACAAUGCUAAAUGUAUAAUAUACUCCACUGUGGCUUAAAUUCUGUAAGCAAUGACCAAUGUGGUGUUGGUGUCAUCUUCUAAUGACGAGUUUAAACUCUUGAAGAAUGUUACAGUAAAAGUUACAGAGAGACACAACUGGGGAAUAUACUUUUUUUUUUUUUUUAAAAUUAAAUAGAGGAUUAGGCGAUAUUAGCUCCUCUGCAAUAGCCGAUUUAUAUUUAUUGAAGAUAAAAUAUAAAAAACAAGUACAAAAGGGAAGGGGGACCAAACCAAAACCUUCCCCAACAAAAAUAAUGCGUAGAAAGUCUCUCAAAUUCAAGAGAACUAAAAAGAAAAAAUCAAAUUGAAAAAUACUAAGCUUCUCAGCCGAGUAAAAAUAAAGGAAGCUGCUCUCAAGAUACCAGCCAACAUUCAUGACCAACAUAUUAAGAAUGCCUAUAAUAUGGAAAACCCAAAGCAUCCAUACGUAAGUAAGGACAAACCUCAGGAGGAGGAGUAGCAUGCCAGCACAAGGAUGAGGAAGCCAACCCUAGAUUAGCAAACCUAUCAGCAACUGGGGAAUAUACUUUACUAAUAAUGAAAUCUAAAAACGCUAAAACAAGGGAAUUUCUGAUAUCCACAAAAUUCCCAUCUUCUGGAACUUUUUCUAUAGCUGUCAAAAUGUCUUCUUAUGCCCACAUGAAUAUCUUUCCCCCAUGUUCACAAGGGCCACAAUCAUAUUUACCAUUUUGCAACCUCUGAAAUGUUAAAACACGACAUUCCAUUCUCAACAUCCAUAAGCAAGCUAGCAACAAAUAAAAUAAACCUCUGCAGUACUAUAUGCUGAUAUAAUUAAGCUAGCUCAUCAUGGUCUUUACAAAUGGUAAUUAAUAAGCUGGCACAAUAGCAAAAACUGGUACAUUUAUACUUCCCAAAUUGGAGGUUACUUAGAACAUCAUACUGAUGAAGCUUCAAUAAUAAAUGUCAUGACAGUAAUAAUAAAGAUAAUUUCUAGAGUUACUGCAUUUUCAAAAACAGAAAGAGGCUUCUUGUUUUCAUGAGGUAAAUAUCAUGCAUAGUCACAUGCAUAUCAUAGCUCGAUUUGUCUGUUUCACCAAGGUUUACGAUCGAGAUUGUAUACAUGUGAAUUCUUCAUGGGCCUAUUCCAAACAACCAAUUGCAAUGGCUCAAGAUAUUAUCACUAUCCCACUAUAUAUAUGAUCCCAAUUUCCCUAUCAAGAAAUUGAAAAACAUAGUCCACCAAAUCUAGAAUUAACGCAGUGACUUGCACCAAGUGAUAAUGAUUUUCCCUAUCUUCUUCACAUUUUUGCUCCUCCUCUCCUCAUCCCAUGCUUCUGUGCAAGACUUCUGCGUAGCAGACUUGACAGCUCCAGAAGGCCCUGCAGGCUACUCCUGCAAGAAGCCUGCAAAAGUUACCGUAGAUGACUUUGUCUUCUCUGGUCUAGGCAUUGCUGGUAACACCACCAAUAUCAUCAAAGCUGCAGUCACACCUGCAUUUGCUGCUCAAUUCCCUGGUGUUAAUGGCCUCGGCAUUUCGCUGGCUCGUUUAGACUUGGCUGUUGAUGGAGUCAUCCCCUUUCACACGCACCCCGGAGCUUCAGAAGUCCUGAUUGUUGUGGAAGGCACAAUCUGUGCAGGCUUUGUUUCCUCGGAUAACACAGUUUAUCUACAAACUCUUGAGACGGGUGACAGUAUGGUCUUCCCUCAAGGUUUGUUGCACUUCCAAGUCAAUGGAGGUGAUACUCCAGCCCUUGCCUUUGUUAGCUUCAGUAGUGCUAGCCCCGGUCUGCAGAUUCUGGACUUUGCAUUGUUUAAAAACGACUUACCAACCUCAUUGAUAGCUCAAACUACAUUCCUCGACGUUGCUCAGAUAAAGAAACUCAAGGGUGUUCUUGGUGGUACUAAUUAAUUAAGGUGUCUUGUUGGGAAAUACCAAUGUGUUAUUCAUCGUGUUCCUUUGCCUUGUUGUUUUUGUGAUUGAGAAGAAGGCCUGUAAGUGUAUGAAUAUUGUUCACUGUUCAGGCCAUUAUAUUUUCUGAAUUUGUACUCCAGUUAGUGUUUUUGUAUGGUUGGUUUCUGCUAGUUCCAUUGCAAAUGCAGUCUCCGUAUCUUAAUAAAUAUUUACGAUGAGAAUGCAUGUUUUAGAUUGAAAUUCUUUCUUUCUCAAUUUGGUAUGUCUACAAUUGUCUACAUAUUAUUAGUCAUCUUAAAACCGUAAGUUCAAUAAUAUAGAAUAAAUUUUCAGUUAAGAAACGAACAAAAUUUGAGAACACAUGUAACUAAUUAGCUAGGUAUGCAAAGAGAGCUGGAAAUUGAUUUUACCAGCAAUUACUAGUCAAAAUAUUACGUUUUAAUAAACUUACAUCUAUCUCAAUUGCAGAUAAUUUUAAAACUUGAACUUCUGUUAAUUGCACAAUCUUUCUGGUGCAGCUGCCACUGCCUUGUUUGUUUCUGCAUAUAUAUAUAUAUAGCAAAUUUAUAGUUUCUAUCAUGCAUGAAUGGCCAACAAUGUCAAAGCAAAAUCUCUAAUGAGUACGUAAUGACUUCAAAAACUUGAAGGGUAACGUUUUAUUUAGCACUCCAUUAUCUAAAAAAACUUUAUUUAGCUGGUAGCUCUACUUUAAUUCAGUCAUGACGGCUUUUGAUAGAUAGGAACUGAGUUGAAGCUCGACGUACGUAUUAACUAGUUCACCAGAUAGAACACCGAACUAGUCAGAUCAAAUUAUUGAUAAUUGUUAUGAAUGUUUUUGUUUGUUCAGGAUAAGUGACUGUUGAAACUUGCUAUAUAAACUAAUAGUACUCGUGAUAGUUCAAUUUUAAAUUUGAAUAAACAAGGACACAAAAUUGAUGUCAGCCUUUGCGGAAUCGGAUAGAUUUUCAAAAUAGACGUAAAGUCGCCUACAGACAAAGUAAACAUGUGUAUGUGUGUGUAUAAUACCUAUCAAAAUCCAAAAUGACUAGUUAUAGCCGUCUGGAUUAGUUAUCGAUCUGUUAAACUAGUUCAACCGUGUUUAUCCAAUUAGUAACGUUACACUUUUUCUUUCAUAUUCUAGAGUCUAAAUUAAGUCAUGCGAAAAGAAAAAAAACAUUUGGGUAGCUUAAUCCAAUAUAUUGCAUUUUUUAACAUUUUAAUCUCAAUAAACAUAAUCAAUCAAUCGGAGAUUUAUAGGAAGUCUCGAGUAAUUGAGUCUUACAACUAGAUGCAUCAUACUGUACUGCAUUUACAAAAACAUAAAGAACUAAUUAAGCUCAAAUAUCCUAGAUUUUAAGUGACAAAAUUUUCAUAAUCAAAAUCAAAAUCGCAGCCACCAGCCAAUAAAAUAAGAAGAAAAAAUAGAUUUCUGACUUGUCUACCGGUUGUUACGUGCUCUAUAUCAUCGUACAUGCAUGGAAACAUUCCAAAAAUCAAUUUCGGUGGCCUCUAGGGUUGACAUCCUCUAUAUAUACGAUUCCUCUCUCCCUCAUCUCAUCAAGAUAACAUCAAAACAUAAGCUAAAACAAACACUACUCUACCUAUUGCUCAAAGUUGACCAUGAUGAUGACUUUCCCCAUCCUCUUCGUGUUUUCUCUCCUUUUCUCUUCUUCCUAUGCUGCUGUUCAAGACUUCUGUGUUGCAGACUACACAGCUCCUCAAGGCCCCGCAGGCUACUCCUGCAAAGAUCCCGCAAAUGUCACGGUAGACGAUUUCGUCUAUUCUGCCCUAGGAGUUCCCGGUAACACCUCAAAUAUGAUCAAAACCGGAAUCACCACCGCAUUUUCUCCUCAAUUCCCUGGUUUGAAUGGCCUUGGCGUUGCACUAGCUCGCGCAGACUUGGCUGUUGGUGGAGUUGUCCCUAUGCACACACACCAUGGAGCUUCAGAAAUUGUACUUAUCAUUGAAGGAACUAUAACCGCCGGGUUCAUUUCCUCAGAUAACGAAGUUUAUGUAAAAACUCUGAAGAAGGGUGACAUCAUGGUUUUCCCUCAAGGACUGUUGCACUUCCAAGUGAAUGUUGGUGAUACUCCAGCUCUUGAGUUUGUUAGCUUCAGCAGUGAUAACCCCGGUCUGCAGAUUCUCUAUACCGCACUAUUUCAAAACGAUUUACCUACUGACCUAAUCGCGCGAUCUACUUUCCUCGACACUGCUGAGAUAAAGAAACUCAAGGCUCUUCUUGGUGGUACUAAUUAAGGUUGACAUAUAUGCACCAAAUACGAAAUAUUGUUACUAAUAAUGUCUCUUAUUGAUCUGGUUAGGCCUGACUAAUGUAAGAGUACUACUCUAUGUAGUAUGUACUAGUAUGCUGCUUCAUGUGUGAAGCAAUUAAUCAUGUAAAAAAUUGUACUUCAUCAUCAAUAAAAGAAUUUAAUUUAAUUGAUGUCUUGUAUAUUUUGAAUUAUUCCACAUCAGGUUAUAUAUUUUGAAUUAUUCCACGUGAUAAAGGAUGGAUUCAGAAAAUUUGCUACAAAAGCCCAUAAUAACUUGUAAACAUCAUCAAAGUUGGUGAGGAAACUGAAGUUGUCACAAUCAGUCACACCCUCAAUCCUUACAAACUUGCCCUUUUUAUCAUUCUUGGUGUUGGAGGGGAGAGAUCUCACAUUAAAAAGUGACAAAGAAAAUAUAACUCAUAAGUAGGUGGGUCAUUCCUAAUUGUACCGAGAUAUUUUGUGAUUAAAACUCAACAUCUUAAAGGUGGUUAAGUUAGAACAAUAUCGGUAUACGGAUGAUCCACGAACCACGUUUGUCGUUGUUUAACAUGGUAUCAGAGUGGGUCCCCCUCCAUAUUUUUUUUUUUUUGAUUAAAAGGAGUUGAACUCCAUUUAUUAAGAAAAAAAGCAAGUCCCUCUCUAGUUGCGUCUCCAAUGAGCCCAUGUUGGUUCUUUCAGGGGUCAUGGCUCUGGUUUGAUUCUUUCGAGUUUUGGGUUCUUUCAGUUGUCAUAGGGAAUUUGAGGUUCUUUCGAUUGUCAUGGGGCCUGGUUUUAGUUUGUUAAUCAGUUUCACGUGCAGACCUAAAAAUUAGGUUGUACGUGAAGGGGAAUAUAGGAGAGGAGAGAUACCACAUUGGAAAAGUGAUAAAGAAAAUCUAACUCAUAAGUGGGUGGAUCAUUUCUAAUUGUACCGAGACCUUUAGUGAUUAAAACUCAACACCUUAAAGGUGGUUAAGUUGGAACAAUAUCAGUACACGGAUGAUCCACGGGCCACGCUUGUCGCUGUUUGACACUUGACAAUUCCCAUAAAUCAUAAACCUGCACAUGGUAGUAUCUUGAAGAUUUAGAGCCCCAUGUACUGAUGUCUCCAACUAUCCAUGAUUCAAAGCCAAUUAAAGUCUCCCCAACGGCCUAAUUAUUUCACCUUCAGUUUCUCUUGUUAUGGCGCAACCGCUCUUGUUAUGGCGCAACCGCGCAACUACCCUCUUUUCUCAGUGCAACUUUCCACAGUUGAUGGCGACCAUUCGAUAGUCUAUGAUCGAUGUUGAGGACUCCCUAUCAUGCAGAUUGGAACCACCACUUUGCAAAGCGUUUCUCUUCAAGGACCUCCUUGAGACAUCCAUGCAGUUACUGAGAAAUUAAUAGGACAGAGGGCACACUAAUGAGAGCCCAUUAGUGUCAUCAUGAUGUGGCCCAGAGUUAAGGAAUUACUUAUCUCAUGAUCUCUCAAAGGAGUCAAAAUGUUGCUGACGCCUAAUGAAGUCACAUCCUGCAAGCAUUGGAGAGGCAACAUUGAACAUCCAUUGUUGGAGUAGCACUUGAUGGACUCAAAAGCCUUUCAGGUACUUAAGACGAACACCAUAUAUAUGUAUCUGUAUACAAUGUGACGCACAGAGAUACAUAAUAGGAAGUUGGCAAGACAAUAUCAAAAAAGGUGAAAUAUCAUAUCAUAUUACUACCUAAAAGGCAGUAGGUAAGAUAUUGAUCUACACUGCAGGGCACUGACUUUCAGUGUAUAAGCUACUGACAUUUCACCUUACAGCUGCGCGCAUAUACCGAAAAUUUUAAUUGCGAUGGCUAAGAAGAUUCACAUGAUCCCCACCUAUAUAUAGGAUUCUACAUUCCAGAUGAGGAAAUACAUUCCAAAGUCAUGAUGAUUUUCCCUAUCUUCUUCAUAUCUUUCUUCACUUUCUCCUCUUCCUAUGCUGCUGUGCAGGACUUCUGCGUAGCAGACUACUCAGCUCCUCAAAGCCCUGCAGGCUACUCUUGCAAAAACCCUUCAAAUGUCACAGUAGAUGAUUUUGUGUACUCUGGCCUAGGAGUUGCCGGUAACACCUCAAAUGCAAACAAAAUUGGGAUCACCCCUGCAUUUGCUGGUCAGUUUCCUAGUCUGAAUGGCCUUGGCCUUUCUCUGUUACGCGAGGAUUUGGAAGUUGGCGGAAUUGGCCCGCUCCACUUACACCGCGGCGCUUCAGAAAUCAUACAUGUUGUUAAAGGAACAAUAAUUGCAGGGUUCAUCGCCACGGAUAAUACAGUCUAUACAAAAACUCUGAAGCAGGGUGAUAUAAUGCUUUUUCCUCAAGGUUUGCUCCACUUCCAGAAAAAUGUAGGUGAUAUAUACCAGCCCUUGUAUUUGCUUGCUUCAGUAGUGAAAACCCGGGCUUGCAGAUAGUGGAGGUUGCAUUGUUUCAAAGCGCUCUACCUACUGAGUUGAUAUCACAGACGACUUUCCUUGACACUGCUGAGAUUAAGAAACUUAAGGGUAUCUUUGGUGGUACUAAUUGAUGUAACCAGAUCAAUAUACCAAAAAUAGGAAUGUGCAUGAUAACUGAUAAGUGAUUACUAAAUAACUUGGUGGUACU